UUCCGUAGACUCUCACGAAUCGAUUAUUUUUGCCAAAACAAAAAGAUCCACUACAAAAACAAUAUAUGAUUAAGUGGAAACUUUUUUGAGUAGACAAAUUAAUUGAAAAAAAGGUGAAGUAGAAUUUAUUUUCUUGUGUGGAGGCAUUACACUAGCAUAUCAUCGACGCCGUGGUCCCCCUUGUAUAAUGCAUUAGAUUGAUGUCCUAUUGUCCUGAAUGAACUUGUCAAUGGAUGAGGUGAGUCAAGCUAAAGGGGUAGCUACUUGACCUUCUCUAGUUUCAUUUCUUUCUCGCCAGAUGUGAAAUCAAACGUUGGAAGGAGACACGCAAUAGGUUUUAUGGGUUAUAGAUUUGAAAGAGACAAACAAACAUCAAGAGAAAAUAAGACAAUAACUUUUAAACUUUUAUUUAUCAUUCAGCUUCACAUUCCAAUUAGGGAGUGAGAAACUCUUGGCUUUCGAAAGAAACACAUCUUGGCUCAACUGCAUAUUUUGCGACGGACUUCGUGACCAUGG
rnacentral:lncRNA from 1 species